rnacentral:rRNA from 1 species
GACGAACGCUGGCGGCGUGCCUAAUACAUGCAAGUAGAACGCAGUUGCGAACGGGUGAGUAACGCGUCGGUAACUGCCUCAUAGCGGGGGAUUACUAUUGGAAACGAUAGCUAAUACCGCAUACUGUGAGAUGGACCUGCGUUGUAUUUGCUAGUUGGUGAGGUAAAGGGUCACCAAGGCGGCGAUACAUAGCCGACCUGAGAGGGUGAGCGACCACACGUGGACUUGGACACGGCCCAGGAUCCUACGGGAGGCAGCAGGAGGGAAUCAUCGGAAAUGGACGGAAGUCUGGCCGAACAACGCCGCGGGAGUGAAGAAGGUUUUCGGAGUGUAAAGCUCUGUUGUGAGAGGAGCGGUAACUAACCAGAAAGGGACGGCUAACUACGUGCCAGCAGCCGCGGUAAUUC